UUACAAUGGAGAGUUUGAUCCUGGCUCAGGAUGAACGCUAGCUACAGGCUUAACACAUGCAAGUCGAGGGGAAACGAUAUUGGAAGCUUGCUUCCGAUAGGCGUCGACCGGCGCACGGGUGAGUAACGCGUAUCCAACCUGCCCAUCACUUGGGGAUAACCUUGCGAAAGUAAGACUAAUACCCAAUGACGUCCAUAGAAGACAUCUGAAAUGGAUUAAAGAUUUAUCGGUGAUGGAUGGGGAUGCGUCUGAUUAGCUUGUUGGCGGGGUAACGGCCCACCAAGGCGACGAUCAGUAGGGGUUCUGAGAGGAAGGUCCCCCACAUUGGAACUGAGACACGGUCCAAACUCCUACGGGAGGCAGCAGUGAGGAAUAUUGGUCAAUGGGCGAGAGCCUGAACCAGCCAAGUAGCGUGCAGGAUGACGGCCCUAUGGGUUGUAAACUGCUUUUAUAAGGGAAUAAAGUGAGAGUCGUGACUCUUUUUGCAUGUACCUUAUGAAUAAGGACCGGCUAAUUCCGUGCCAGCAGCCGCGGUAAUACGGAAGGUCCGGGCGUUAUCCGGAUUUAUUGGGUUUAAAGGGAGCGUAGGCCGGAGAUUAAGCGUGUU
rnacentral:rRNA from 1 species